ensembl:lncRNA
CAGACUGGAUUUGUAGGUAGGGUGAAGUCAGGGAAGGCUUCACAGAGAGAGAAACAUGUGAAGGCCUCAGAGAUUGCGAAACAGUUUGCUAGGCUGCCAAAGGUAUAAGAACGGAGGCAAAGGGAGAGCAUCCUGUGAAGGUCUGGGCCACAAUUUUGGACAGCAAGGGUUAGGAGAGAGCAGCAAAGUGAGAGAGAGUUCCACGCAGCCUUGCCUGGCCUCUCUUCAUGAUAGCUCACUCACUCGGGGAACACCUUUGCACCACCUGAGGACAGAGCCAACUCCUGGAUAAGCAUCCACUAAUGUAUCCUCAUGAAGGACAGGGAAGUGAAAUGAUUUGCUUACAGGAACCUAACGGUGUAGACGCAUUCUCAGAAGGAGGAGAUUGCCAAAUCCACACGCCCAGACCCCGGCCCCAGGCACGUUGGCACAGGGAGACCUUUGCUAUGACUCCUUUUGAAGCCGGAGAAAACCUUUCCUACAGCCUCUGCCUGUCUUCUGCAAGUGAGAACAGCUACGUGUUUCAAGAUGCGGAGGCAGACGCAAUGGGGAAGGGAGUGAGACCAAGACGGGUACCGGUCCCUCGGUGACUGACACAAGCCUGCACAGCACGCAGCCAACACAGAGCCAAGCCCGCAGUAUCCGUGGAUACAUAUUGUGAAUGGGUGUAUGGGAAUGACCGUGGCCACGUUACUUACAAUUUUAAGAUUUUUAAAAGCAACUUAUGUGUUCAGGUCAAUUGUCCUUAAGUAAGUUAUCGUAAACUACAAGAGAAUGGUUCUUGCUCAUCAUAUGUCUACUUUUGAGAUUUGAGGUGUGGUUCAGCAGGCUUCUCUGCUUUAAAGAAAGAAACCAACACAAAGCUUUGCUCAGCUACUUAUGAAUCAACCCAGUUCUGACUUGCAUUAUUGAUUUGUUGCGUGACCUUGAGGUCCCUCAGCCUAAGUUUUUGCUUCUAUAACAUGGGGAGAAAUACAAGCAUACCUUGGAGAUGCUGAGGGUCCCUCACCACACCACCACAAUAAAGCCAAUAUCACAUGAAUUUUAUGGUUUCUG